UACGUAGGGGGCAAGCGUUGUCCGGAUUUAUUGGGCGUAAAGAGCUCGUAGGUGGUUCGGUAAGUCGGAUGUGAAAUCUCCAGGCUCAACCUGGAGGGGUCAUUCGAUACUGCCGUGACUAGAGUUCGGUAGGGGAGAUUGGAAUUCCUGGUGUAGCAGUGAAAUGCGUAGAUAUCAGGAGGAAUACCGAUAGCGAAGGCAGGUCUCUGGGCUGACACUGACGCUCAUGCACGAAAGGCGUGGGGAGCGAAACAAGGAU
rnacentral:rRNA from 1 species